ensembl:lncRNA
UCAGAGCAGGUGACAUUGUCACAAUCGUGGUGCUGCCCUGCCUUCCCCAGCCAAGUUACUGCUUGGGAACCCUGCCUGUUCCAUGUCAAAUGUGUUCAUCAUCAUCCUGUGACCCUGCAGCAAACCUGAGCAGAGCGAAUCUUCAGGGUUCUGAAAUGGAGACAAAUGUUUUGAAUUCCCUGUCUUUAUUUUUGUGGCUGUUCCUCCGUUGGGACAAAUGAAUUAACAGCACUAUAAGUGUUAGACUGAGCAAUUGGCGUUUGUUGUUACCUGUGCCCUGUCUGUAAUAUCACAUUUACUUCCAUUAAGUAAGUUCAUUUACUUCCAGUAAGUCCAUUCCAUAACUCCAUUCUCACAUGGAAUGAAAUAAACACUAGAUUAGCUACAAAUGGUGCAAAAAGGGAUUUUGGCAGAUUUCUCCUGGCUGUGCUGCGACCCUGAAGAAGAUUGCUGCUGCCACUUUCCUUCCUUUCUCCUGAAGGUUGCCAUUCCUUGGACAUCCCUGUGUCUGCUGCUCUCCCUCACAGGCAAAUAGAUCUGCUGGAACUCUCCAAAAAGGGCAGCCAACACCCAAGGGAGGUAAGAUCACCCUUCUGAGGGAGCAGGAAUAAAAGGAAAUGCCUUCAAGCAGUGAAAUUGCUUGUUCAGUGAACACAGUGGAGCCCAGAUACUCAUCCCUGAUCACAGCUGUCAAACUCAUUGCCCUGUGAAGAGUGCCAUGGAUGUGCAAAAUACUGUCACUAUUUUAUAGCUUGUCUUCCCCUUUAUGACUUUUUAUACAUUGGUUUCAUGACUGGCUGCAGAAUGUGAAUAAUUUGUGGCAAGAUGCUAGUUCACAGUCUGUCUGAAAAAGUCCACAGCUGAAACUGAACAUCUCGGAGUGAAGAGAGCAAAAAGUUGUUUCCACAGUGGAAGGUUCUCACCAAAGAAAGGGAGAACCUCUGAAUCACCCUGUGUGCCCUGAACUGGGGCUGUGGUUUCAGAGAGACACACAGGGAGCACCAACACUUGCCAAGUUAGCCCCACUGUUGGCCUAUGAGCCACAUCCUUGUCAUAUCUAACCUUUUAACUUUUCCAAACAUGUUUCCUUAAAGGUUGAGAGGCAUUUAACCAAAAUUGCUACAAAUUACCCAAAUGAAACACCUUGUGCUGCAUUUUAAACGUACCAUUUACUUGUGGAACCAGAUCACAGAGUAAAACAGUGUUUGAGCAAGACAGAGAACUAUUACAGCUUAAUUAAAUGAAGGGCUUUUUUCAGCAUGGAGCUCCUGGCCAGCACUGCCAUCCCACAGCCCAGAAGGUGACAGUGUGCUUGGUGGCUGUGUUGAUCUGCCAGAACACCAGGAGGAAAGCAGCAGGGUAAAGGCUGGGACAUUUGUGUUCUCGUUGCACGAGCUUCUCCUGUGAUUUGCAACUUACCACCAGUGUGGUGCCAGAUGAGCUCUUCCAGCUGCAGCUUUUUAACCAUCACAGGUUGUAGCUGCUGGUUCUUCUGGACAUCCAGUGGUGGAAAUGAUCUGAGGGAGGAGGUCAGAGCCUUGCCAGAUCUGCUUGUGUCCCUCCAGAUGUACCUGCUUCCCAUCCUGCUUCUCUUUUCAGAGCAAGGUGUUGAAGAGCCAAGUGUGGUAUCUCUUUAACCCUGAUCAGCUGUAAAAAUUCUUGAGUGUGCCCUACAACAGGUGUCACAAAAAUAGUCACAAAAACCCCCCAGUGAAUAGGAAACUAUAAAUAAGUGCAGUGCCAUGAAUCUGUGGGGCAGCUUUGGAAAAAGAGCACCAAAGAAGAAGAUGAAGAGCUUCUUCAUCUCCCUUUCAGAGCUCAAUUUACAGCUGAAAGCAAUGAAGUGUUAUUUCAACAAGGUUGGGGCUUUUUUGGGGUUUUUUUUCCUGGCAAAAUGAAAGUUUAGGCAUUGAUUCCUAUUGAAUUUAGGAAAAUCCUGCUUUGAUUUCAAAGGGCUGCAGAAAAAUGACUGCCCAGAUUUGUUCAUAGGAGUGUGCUGUCAGUCACUCCUGCUCCAGGGUGGAACACUGAGCGUGGGCAUAAAACUUAAAUCAAAGUUUCCACAGGUGACUGACAUAUCCCCAAGUCCUGAACACCUGUGGGAGCCCACCUUGCACAAUGUGCUGGUGCCACUUGUCACACAGUUGUGCUUCAUUGCAGAAUUGAUACUUAGCACCCGGCAAAACCACAAAUCUUCGGGUCACAGGCCUUUUCUUCCUGCAUUGAUAGGCUCAAGUCCUUGCUGCUUCUGUACUUGCGAUAUGAAAGUUUGAAAGAAAACAAGAUUCUCAGUGGGGGGAUUGUGAAAGAAGUAGUGCAUUGUGGUUUUUUUCUCUGUGAGAGCUGUGGAGAAAACUGAAAAUCUGUUCCUGUGGGAGAGGGGAGAUUUAAAAGUCACCCUGAAAGUGAAGUAGGAUUCCUUAGAAUUAAGGAUGAAACAAUUUCCAGCAGUGUUUUGAGCACUAACCUAACACAUAGUUGAAAUGAAAUUGUUUUCCCCAAAGCUAAGUGCUAGAUGUUUCCAUACCAUCUGCAUUAUAAAUUCAAGCUCCAAAAACUGAACCACAGUUAUCAGUAAUAUUAUGAUGUGUGAGAAAUACAUUGGCUGUGAUACCUCUUGCAUUUAGGUAAGCUUUUUCCCUCAAAAUGUUUCUUUUGGAACUGUAUUAUGUCAGUCUAUGUGUGUAGCUUCUUUAGGUGAUGGAAAAGGCUAGAAGGUCUCCCUGGAGCCUUCUCCAAGCUGAACAUCCCCAGCUCUCUCAUCCUGUCUCCACAGCAGAGAUGCUCAAGCCCUCUGAGCAUCUUCAUGGCCUCCUCUGGACUCACUCCAGCAGAUCCACAUCCUUCCUAUGCUGGGGACAUAGCCAGCUGCUGUGCUUAAAAAAAAUACAACAAAUCACUCAGCUUCACCCCACUAAUGCUCCCUCUCUUGCCUUGCACUCCCCAUGCUGCUGCAGCACCAAGAAACUGCAUUUCUGCCUGGACAAAUGAGUCACUCAGUCUGGGCAAAGUGGUGUCCCACCACUGAAACUGAGACUUCCCAGCAGCUUGCAAGAUUUGGCUCUUUUGCCCACUUCUUAGAGGCCAAUAGAAGUUUUGGUGCUGCAGUUUCAUGCAAGUCCAGGUCAGGGCACCGUGGGCUCAGCUUUUGUGGGUUUAUCUCAGGCAGCACCUGGGCUCACCUUCAGGAGCAACAUCUGUGAGGUCCCUGGGCCCCAUAGCUCAUGCCAGUGGUGCUCGUGAUGUAGAGACCUCAGAACCCCUUGGGAAGGCACCUUUUUCACCUGCAUUGUGUGUACUGUUCAAAUUUGAGUGUGCACCAGCAGUUUCUUCCCACCUGAGCUCCAUCCCUGCUCCAUGGAGAAGGAUAACUGGGAAGCUGAUGUGAAAUCAGCACCCUGCUAAUAGAGUUGUAUCCUGCAAAACAGCAUCAGAUGCCAUCAGAUUUAAAUAAAGUCUGCAUUUUGGGGCCACCUGUGAAUGGCC